rnacentral:rRNA from 1 species
CCCUACGGGGGGCAGCAGUGGGGAAUAUUGGACAAUGGGGGGAACCCUGAUCCAGCGACGCCGCGUGAGUGAAGAAGUAUUUCGGUAUGUAAAGCUCUAUCAGCAGGGAAGAAAGAAAUGACGGUACCUGACUAAGAAGCCCCGGCUAACUACGUGCCAGCAGCCGCGGUAAUACGUAGGGGGCAAGCGUUAUCCGGAUUUACUGGGAGUAAAGGGAGCGUAGAUGGCAAUGCAAGGCUGAAGUGAAAGGCGGGGGCCCAACACCCGGAAUGCUUUGGAAACUGUAUGGCUGGGGGUCAGGAGAG